UACAUACUCCCUCCGUUCGGAAUUACUCGUCCAAGAAAUGAAUGUAUCUAGAUAUAUUUUAGUUGUAGAUACAUCCAUUUUUGUGACAAGUAAUUCCGAACGGAGGGAGUACUAC
rnacentral:pre_miRNA from 1 species